rnacentral:rRNA from 1 species
UUGCAUCUGGAGCUUGCUCUCAUGAGUUAGCGGCGGACGGGUGAGUAACACGUGGGUAACCUGCCCAUAAGACUGGGAUAACUCCGGGAAACCGGGGCUAAUACCGGAUAACAUUUUGAACUGCAUGGUUCGAAAUUGAAAGGCGGCUUCGGCUGUCACUUAUGGAUGGACCCGCGUCGCAUUAGCUAGUUGGUGAGGUAACGGCUCACCAAGGCAACGAUGCGUAGCCGACCUGAGAGGGUGAUCGGCCACACUGGGACUGAGACACGGCCCAGACUCCUACGGGAGGCAGCAGUAGGGAAUCUUCCGCAAUGGACGAAAGUCUGACGGAGCAACGCCGCGUGAGUGAUGAAGGCUUUCGGGUCGUAAAACUCUGUUGUUAGGGAAGAACAAGUGCUAGUUGAAUAAGCUGGCACCUUGACGGUACCUAACCAGAAAGCCACGGCUAAUUACGUGCCAGCAUCCGCGGUAAUAC